CAACAAAUCACCAGAACAGAGCUAACAGGACAACAGCAUCACUAUUGCAUCAACCACAAUAUUGUGAUUAAUUCAGUCCCCAACUGAAAUGAAGGUCGCAAACACGAUGGCUGAUAUUUGAACAAAAUGAGAAAAGUACCUGAGGAACCCUAAGGAUGACAAAUAAAGGAAAUAAAUUCUCAGGGUGGCCUUGAGAACUAUUUAAGGGUGGACAUAAGCCAGCGAUGGGGAAUCUCAGACACCUGGUCGUUGGGAGCUCACCAAGUCAUAAUCUCUUAUCAGGCCGCACCCUUGCCUUAUCUACCAUGCAUCUUCCUUAAGUGUUUUGUGCCUGGCUGGAAUGUGACCUUGGGAAUCUGUUAAUACCUCUUGGUUGCCUGGACAGAAGAUGGAGAGGAUGUGUAGACACCAGCCUGCAGUACAAAGGUAAAAUUCAACUCUUCCCAUAUUUGCCUCUGGCCUUGCCGACUGACAUAUGACCCCAGACGCUUAUCACAUGGGAAUGUGGCCUUCAAGCAGCAAAUGUAGAAAGUAAGGAAGAGGCAUUUAGUCACGGCAAUAGCGGUACAAGCUCAGCAGUAAGCACCAAGCUCCAGAAGUCAAGAUUUCAAGGUACGUAAGCAAGGCAAGGGGUUCAUCACUAAAUGGAAACUAUGAAGAUGUAUCAAUGGUUGACACACCCCUCUCACCCAGCAUUCAAAGGUAAGAUGGGAUGAGCUCAAUCAUGGGACUCUCUAGCCCUGUGAAUCUGCUGCAUGUGGGUAGAGACCAUCUUGGCUGUGAGUCCUGGAAGAUGUGCUCCCUGCCUUGCAGGCCUUUUCCACCUGUCUGUCUCUAGCUACAAAAGCUGAGGCUGCUGAACAGACCCUUGGGUUGGGGUCUUGUUUAUGGUUUUUUGUUGGGGGAGGGUGUUGUUGCUUUUGUUGUUAUUAAUCUUUUGUAGCUUUAUUUUAGAUCUUCUGAUUUAUGUGGAAAUUGUGCAAUUUGGUCCUGUAUUUUCCCAUGCUUUAUUUAUUGUUUUGUGAUUACUUUCAUUAUGUUUGUAAUUGUGUGAUUUUUUUUCAUGUUGCAAGCCACCUUGGGCAUGAUUUGAACUAUGGAAAGGCGGCAUACAAAUGAAAUUAUGUAUGCAUGUAUGUUUGAUCUCACCAACAAUGUUGUGCUUGGUCCUGUCAACAAGGUGGUGUCUUGCCCUUCUGCCUCUGUCUCCUCUGCCAGCUCCUUUCUUUCCCUCUGGCUGGUUGAAGUCCCCAUCCCUGAUGAGGCUCUGUGCUCUACCUAAGGGGUAGAAGAGAGAGUCUCCCUAUCUGACAUCUAGAUUCACCAGGGAACAAACUCUUUCCUCCAUCCCUGAGUGCCAGCCUUUCCAACCUCCAUCUCCUCCUUCCUUCUGCUGUUCCUUGUCCACCAGAUUCUGAUGGAGCUGAGGGGCCCAGGGCAAUGAGUUCAAAUCCUGCAUAUCCAGGGUCUUAAUUCAUGGACAGAGAGUAUCCCCACUUCAGACCCUUUCCUCUAAUUCAUGGAAAGUGCUGCUGGGGGUGCAACAGAUGAAGAGAGGUCAUUGAAUACAACUCUGAUGUCCACCUCACAUGAUUCUGAGCACCUGAGUGACUGAGUGCCCAGAUAGUGUUGAUGCAAGAAGCUAAUUCCUUUUUGAAAAGUCAUGAUUCAACUCCUCUCCAAAUCAGGAGUUAUUAAAAGACCUAAAUCUUGUCUGCUUGCACUUCACCUCAUAAGACUUUAAGAUGCUUCAUAGUCAUAUUUUCUAUCAUAUGCAGUCAUUGUAGAAAAAUGAGACAUCUAAGAAUAUAUAUGCUUGUAUUCUCUAAUGCAGUUGAUCAUAUUUGCAACUUUUAUGGUGCAGGUAUUUGCCUAUGAAUUCCUCCCACCCAGUCAUUGUACUGUCUGGGAAUUCCAAAUGUCCUUAUUAAUGUUUUUAAAAAUUACUAAGUCUGGUGCAUAGGGUUAAAAUACACCCUGGGAAUGUGAUAAUGAACGUCUCUUGCUAGCCUUCACAGAAGAUGUGUGUGGCAAAAGAAACUUCUGACUUGCACACCCUCCAACAUAUCACAGCAAAAACCAGGCUGCACAUAUUCCAGGCCGUGCUGCCAAGUAAGUCACGUGACCCGCACAAGAGUACAGAGACCCAAACCGUGUGUUUUGGGGUGCCGUGCUCUCAUGUGAGAGCAAUGCACCCCAAAACAGGAUGCCCCACUUUAAUUGGGACAGUUGAGAGGUAUGAUGUAGCCCCCUCUACAAAUCAGUAACAACCAUUGCUCCUCCCACUUUUGCCUCUGGUCAUGCCCACCAUGGGCAUGUGACCCUGGAGGAAAUGCCGCCAUUGGACGAAUAAAGGUUCCCUACCCCCAUUUUACAGAAGGCUGCCUGUCAGUAUGACAGGCUUACGGAUGCUAUCAGGGCAGGAAUUUAGAGCAAAAGUCUAGGGCCCUACUCAUCAGGAUGAGAGCCCCCUAAUGCAGCAGGUCUGGCUUACCUCCUUUUGAAGGAAGUGAAGCAACCCACAUUUCCACCCAAGGGAGGGCUGUAAAGCCAUUAAGUCCAAAGUCUGAAAUUACCUGCCUACACCACUCAGAGUGUAGUAAGGCUGGAAGUAAAUAAGUAACAAGGGCAGGGGCUAUCACCAUGUUAGGUCAAAGCUGGGGUGAUCUGUCCUGGGAAAAGCCUAGCCCCUGCUUACAGCAGUAUCACAGUUCUCAUAAUAAGUUGGGAUGAGUGAAGAGGUGCAACCCUGUCAAUUUUGACCAAAUUUGAUUUUGGAAUCCCACAGCAUCUAUAAAAUUAUAGAGUACUGACACUCCCAAAACCAUAGUUUUAUGUAGGGAAAGGGUUGUAGCUUAAGGGUGGAGCAUCUGCUAUGGACGCAGAAGGUGCGAGGUUCAAUCUCCAAUACUCUAGGUAGGUCUGAAACCCUGGAGAGCUGCUGGCAGUCAGUGUAGACAGUCCUGAGCUAGAUGAACCAUUGGUUUGAUUCAGUAUAAGGCAGAUUCCUAGGCUCCUUCACUGUGCAGUAAUUUGAUAAUGUGCCUGAUCACGUGAAUGUAUCCUCUGUGGCAGUUUUGAAAACAGACUCCUUUUUAUUAUUAUUUCCAGCUACAUAACAUUGUAUUUAGCAGAUUUGUUCUUGCCUCAGGGGCCUGGGCGCAAUUCAUGAACCAAUUAAAUUAAGGAAGAGGGGGAGGAAAGAAACAAAGAGGGAGAGGUAAACUCAAACAGCAUAGAAACCCAAGGCAGAGAAGAGCCUGUGCCUUUGAGAAUGCAGCCCAUUUCAUUAAUUCACAAGUAACAGAAUAUCCUUUCAAGCCAGCUUUUUAAAGAUAAAAUAAAAUCAGGAAGUCUCAUACCUGCCAAUCAUUCUGUGCCCUGUGUCAUGUGUUUUGUAACCUUAUACAUCCACAACAUUAUGCAUAUGGGAGUCAAGACAAGUUUUAAAGUACAUACAGUGACUCCUGAACUUCUACACCCUUUUGGACAAGUAUAUGUACAAUGAUUUCUGUUCAGUGCAUCCCCUGCCUGCCCUUUCUUCCUGGGAUCAUACACUGGAACUUGCCAGACUUAUCACAAACAUCGUAGGGACACAUGUUGCAUCUGAUUGCCGUUGAUCCGUAUGCCGAGAGAAGGAAAAUUCAAGGAAUUGAGAUCUCUCUGGUUUUCUGCUAAUCUGUGCUGUUAAGGUGUAUUUGUAAUGAGAUUUUGCCCUCCCAUUCUUCAUACGCUGUGAGGUGCUCCAAAGUGAAAUCUGGUAACAUGACCAGUAGUGAUAUAUUCCUUGCUUUUUGGCCAUUUAACUCAGACAUUUAUGGGUGUGAAGGUGUGUUAGUGUGAACGAGUAUAUACAUGUGUCACAGAGAAACAGCAGAAGGAACAAAAUGCAGCAUCUGUGAGUCAAGAACUGAGCCAGCUGUGAGUGUUCAUGCCUAUUCAAAAAGACAUAUUAGGCUUGUCUGUGAAGUGACUUCUGUGAUCUUAUCUUGUGAAUGAGACCAACAAAUCUCAUAGAUCUGGCUCCUAAGGACGUGGUGGCAAGGGAGAACAAUGUGUACUGAACUAAGGAAGGCACACUCCACAUGGAUCUCAACCUCUGGAUCUUAUGAUGAAUGCCUCCUAAAUUUCUAUCGCAGAGGUGAGAAUGAAGACAAUUUGUUUUAACUCAGGGAAGGGCUGUCUGAUGUGGCAAAGAUGCAACAACUGACAACCAGAACCAUUCUCUUAGCUUCACAGCAUUUGGUUUUGCCAUUAUUAGCAAUACUGAGAGUCCAACAACGUAUUACAUUAAAUGCAUAAAAAACAUUGAAUGAUACACGGAAGCUCUUUUCAUAAAGAAGCUUGCCCGUGGUAAACAUAAUACUCAGUGUAACAGUGGUGAGCAGGAGCCUGACUUUGGAGAGUGAAGGAAAACACCGGGUCCUUUCAACAUGCUUUUCCUCUACACAUGAGUAGCAGGUGGAGAGGGCUAAUAACCAAGGCCAAUCCUAAAUUAUUAAGCUGAAGCCUUUUCUAAUCAAGAGCAAAAAUUCCUUUUGAAGAUCAAAUUACCCUUUAUGGAGGCUGCGGUUACAAUAGCCACAAGGCUUAAGCACUGAGGUUGUCUCAAGGAAGGGAAAUUACAGUUUUGAAAUCUCAUUAGAAUAAUUAUCCAGCGUUGCCUGCUCCUUUUGCUAGCUCCAGGCAUCCAUAAUCCUCGGCUACUUUUGAUUUUGAUCUCUAUGUCCUUCACUCUGUGCCCCCUCUGCCCGAAAAGGAUUUGCUAAAAAGAAUGAAAGUUCUUGUUGACUAAUCUUCAUCCAGGUAUGAGUCCCUGGUGGCCCUAUGCAAAACAUCUCUUAGGGCACACACCAAGAUUUGUUUUGUAACUAUGAUUAAAAAGCUUACAUUACGCUUCUAGCAAAAGAAACGUAAGAUCACUAAAAAGAAAAAGUUAAUUGGCAGUUGGAAGGGGUCUUUCUUUUUUGCAUGAAUGUGGUUUUUUUUUUACCACAUUACGAUCAUGAAAUGGGUUAUAAGUAGUUUCUAAGCAGAUGUAGAAUUGCUGAAAUUCAGUCCUAUUUGAUAUGAAGGAAAUGUUCUUUGCUGUACAUCUUCUCUUUAUAUACUGAUACUACUAAAAUGUAAUCUUGCUUUCAAGGAUAAGCAACAAACCACAACGUAUCACAUCAUUAAAGGUAAAGGGACCCCUGACCGUUAGGUCCAGUCGCGGACGACUCUGGGGUUGCGGUGCUCAUCUCGCUUUAUUGGCCGAGGCGUACAGCUUCCGGGUCAUGUGACCAGCAUGACUAAGCCACUUCUGGCGACCCAGAGCAGCACACGGAACCGCCGUUUACCUUCCCGCCAGAGUGGUAUCUAUUUAUCUACUUGCACUUUGACGUGCUUUCGAACUGCUAGGUUGGCAGGAGCAGGGACCGGGCAACGGGAGCUCACCCCGUUGUGGGGAUUCGAACCGGCGACCUUCUGAUCGGCAAGUCCUAGGCUCUGUGGUUUAACCCACAGCGCCACCCGUGUCCCACAUCACAUCAUUAGGUGUGAUGAAAUCCUAUUACCGUAUUGGCCCGAAAAUAAGCCGCACCUUUAAAAUUGGAGGAGGGGAAAGAAAAAAUGAAUAAAUAUCUGAAUAUAAGACCCUCCCUUCUCCGCUGCUCCUGGCUGCAUACUGGGGGGGGGGGGAAGCCGCACUGCGUUGCCGGCGGCCUAUCCCCUUCCUCGCUCUCUCCUUUCCUGGCCUUGGAGGAGAGGAUGGGGGACUACGCACAGGGUGGGCGCUGCUUCGCUGUGCUCCUGGCGCUGUUUGUCCUGUGCUCCUGGCUGCAUACCGUAAGGUCACAAGUAUAAGCCACACUUUAACUUUACACGGUCAGAAUUUGAGGGGAAAGUGUGGCUUAUAUUCAGGGCAAUACGGUAAUUUCAAAGUGUGCAUAACUGUGUACUGAACUAUGGUGAAUGAAUACAGGCUGCCUAAACAGUCUAAACAAUCACAAAAAGGAGAUCCAUGGAGAACAAAUAUGAACCAAGACAUGCCCCCAAAAAACUCACGUGAGCUUUUUAUUCAUGCAUUGCAGAAUCUCAUUCAAAAGUCUCAUUCAUUUCAGUUCUGUUGGCAAGUCAGAGUAUGCUGCCAAACAGCUGCUCCAUUGUUUUCCAUAAAUGGGUGCACAUGUAACCAGUGAAUGCUAAACCCACUUCUGCCGUUACUGAAUUUCCUCCUUUUGACUCUGCCUCUCUUAAUAUAAGAUGUGAAUUAAUUAGCAAUGUAGAUUUUUAAUCCAACGCACCCACUUCUGAUUAGGUUUGGAGAAAGCAACAACUGCCAAUCCAAUGCUUUGCAUUGUGCCAAAGACCACUGCUGUAGCACCUGGUACAAGUACAAUCAAUAUUUUCUUAUUCCUGGCCAAGCUAUAGACCUUCACACUUAAUAUUCAUUUUUUGUAAUAAAAUAAAAAUCUUCUUUUGUGAUUACAGUCUUGCCCUGAUGCAAAGAGGUUUCUUGGCCCUUUGGGCAUGUAAAUGAAAUGAAUUAACAAAAAUCCUUUUGCUUAACGGGCUACUCUGUUAGCAGUUUUGAAAAAUUUUAGGUAAGCCUAAAGAGACUUGUAAAUAUAUUGCAUAUACCUGUUCUUAAACUCUGUUGAUUUUAUCUAUAUUUUGGUAAUUUUAUUUUGUCAACUUGUUUUUAAAGUCUGCUGGUUUUAUUGCUAUUUCCUUAUAAAUAUUUUAUACUGUUUUACGUAAAUUACUUCAGGGGUGUUUUUUUUAAUUAAGUGGUCUAUAGAUUCCAAUAAAUAAAUAAGAGUAAGAUGUACUCAACCACAGUGAAACCUUUCCCCUGUGUUUCUGUGUGAGUUACUGUUCUGGGUACUUUUAUUGAUUAGAAAUAGCUUGGAGCAGUGAUUUACACAGAAACGCAAAGGUAGUAAUACACUUUGCCUUCCCUCAAACAAAUUGGGUUGAUUCAGAUUUUCCAACUAAGUGCUCAGAAAUGUUGAGGUUUUUAAAGUGUUCAGAUGAACUUUAAAUUGCCCCAAAGAGGACUCCCAUCAUUUGCAAGCACAGAUUAUUGGGAAAUAGUGGAAGCAGUGCAUGAAUCCCAAUUCGAAUCGGAGCAAGCUUAAAGGUUGCUUCCCCCAACUUCAAUUAGAUCUGCCUUGCCUGAGAAGGUGCCCUCACACCACUUUCCCAACAUUAUUAUGCUGUAUCUCUACAACUGCCUGAAUGAUCCAAAUGCACAGAUGCAGGGAUGUGAUGGAGAUACUUACCCUUGACAGAGACUGAUAAGAAUGGGGCAGGGCAAAUGAAUCACGCCAAGGACACUGAAGACAGCCUUCUUUGUGCAUGGAUAUUUUGGGCUCCUGGGAAUCUUCAUUUUAUUGAUCAACUGUCAUACUUAGGGUCCUAUGGAUUUCUUCUUCUUUUACAUUAGCUUAGCCAGAUGGGAAUUGUUAAAGUCCGUCCUGCAGUCCUCAGGAAUAGGGGAACCCCCAAACCAUUCAACAUUGAAGCUCCUAUUCAUGAACUAGGGCUUAUAUCACACCAGCAAAAUAGCCAAAUGUAGAACCUCCCCCAAUGGGAGUCCCCCAAAGGACACCACCAGGGAACAUUCCGAAGGAAAACUCUAGUUCAAAUCAUGCUGUUCAGGGUAGCCACAUCUGCAAAGAAGAUUUGGAGAGUUUAUCUUUCAUUUGUAGAGUGAAUGAAUUGCCACCAUAUUGCACGUGCAAUUUGUCUGAUUUUUCUGUUUCUUUUAUCACUUUUGAUUUGUGAAUAAUUUCUCAGUGGUGGCCAAUUGCCAAACUUUUUUGAGCCAUAAGUCCAGGGUUAGUCCUUGUAAAGCCUUCCAGAUUUGAACUGUAGAUAGUUGAGAAGUCACUUUUUUAAAUAGCCAAAAAAUCCUUAGUCUUAACAACAGCAUUUGGGUGUUCAAAGAUGGUAGCAUAAACAAAUCUGGGGUGAGAAAUCCAUAGGCUUCUAAAUUAUUUUGGAUGUUUCCGAGGAUACUAGUCCCCAAAAUGCUUGCAUUAGUGGGCAACUCCACUAUAAGUGAUAAGUCCCCUUCAUGCCACAUAGCCUCCAGCACCAUAGUUGGAAUGUUGGCAAUAUAUCGGCAAGCUGAACCAGAAUCUGGUACCACCCAAAGGUAUUUUCUCUAAUAUACGCAGAGGCAGGUUUUUACAGGGCUUGUAGGCUUUUAUUCUCCAUUGUGUCUCGUCUAUGCCUCGUCUAUGCCUUGUUCUAAAUAUCCCUGAAAAAAGUUUGGGAAAUACUAUAUAUAUAUGUGUGUGUGUGUGUGUGUGUGUGUGUGUGUGUGUGUGUAUGGUGUUCUCAUGAUACCAACAGAAAAAUCUGUAAAGUUUAAUAAAGCAACACAAUCUUUUAAUACCUCAGAAGGUUAACUUCUUUCUUUUCUUCUUUUUAGGGAGGAGACAGUAGGUCAAGUGAGGAUAAAGAUGGACACCUCAUCUGCUGGGUGAUAGCAAUGAUAAACCUGAAUAGCUUUCAGUUUCUUCAGUAUAUGCAUCUGAAGAAAAGAAAAGCAGAAAAGAAAGCCAACUGACAAUGUGAUUGCCUGCAAAAAGGAUUUUUGGGGAAAUCAUCUCCCAGUUCCAUUUCUCCAGUGAACUGAACAUAGCAGAUGAAAAAGAGGUCACAAAUUUAUGAAACGGCAUGGUCUUCCAGCCAGACAUCAAUACCCGUAGAAAGAUUUGCAGUGUUAAAAGCUCAGAGCCAAUGUAUUCAGUGGACAGGACUUUUGGACUAAGACCUAGGUUCAUGAUCCAUUCAAAUAUUAAGUUGAUUAAUGUCUUUGGUGUCACUUCUUAUUAGUUCUCUUAUUUGCAAAGUGAAAAUGUGCACAUUUGCAAGGUUGUAACGAAGGUUAAUAUUGUAAUGUGUAAAAAGCAUACCCACACACUGCAGAAACUCUUACUGUGCAAGUUUCAGCAUUUUUCUGAAUAAUUCAUCUAACAGUGUCCCGGGAAGUGUGCAAAGGACUUCAGCUUAGGCCUGGGAUUUCUGACUUCCUUCCAAAGAGCUACAGAUGAGUUCACAUUAGGGAUGGACUGAUCUGUCAAUGUUGG